UGGGGAAUAUUGCACAAUGGGCGCAAGCCUGAUGCAGCGACGCCGCGUGGGGGAUGACGGCCUUCGGGUUGUAAACUCCUUUCGCCAGGGACGAAGCGUUUUGUGACGGUACCUGGAGAAGAAGCACCGGCUAACUACGUGCCAGCAGCCGCGGUAAUACGUAGGGUGCAAGCGUUGUCCGGAAUUACUGGGCGUAAAGAGCUCGUAGGUGGUUUGUCACGUCGUCUGUGAAAUUCCACAGCUUAACUGUGGGCGUGCAGGCGAUACGGGCUGACUUGAGUACUGUAGGGGUAACUGGAAUUCCUGGUGUAGCGGUGAAAUGCGCAGAUAUCAGGAGGAACACCGAUGGCGAAGGCAGGUUACUGGGCAGUUACUGACGCUGAGGAGCGAAAGCAUGGGUAGCAAACAGGAUUAGAUACCCUGGUAGUCCAUGCCGUAAACGGUGGGCGCUAGGUGUAGGGACCUUUUGGGGUUUCUGUGCCGUAGCUAACGCAUUAAGCGCCCCGCCUGGGGAGUACGGCCGCAAGNACUA
rnacentral:rRNA from 1 species